GAUGAACGCUGGCGGCGUGCUUAACACAUGCAAGUCGAGCGAGAAACGUUCUUCGGAGCUUUUCUAGCGGCGGACGGGUGAGUAACACGUGGGCAACCUGCCUCAUAGAGGGGAAUCGCCUUACGAAAGGAAGAUUAAUACCGCACAAUAUUGUUGAAAGGCAUCUUUUAAUAAUCAAAGGAGCAAUCCGCUAUUAGAUGGGCCCGCGGCGCAUUAGCUAGUUGGUGAGGUAACGGAUCACCAAGGCGACGAUACGUAGCCGACCUGAGAGGGUGAUCGGCCACAUCGGACCUGAGACACGGUCCAGACUCCUACGGGAGGCAAAAGUGAGGAAUAUUGCACGAUGGUGGACAGCCUGGUGCAGCAACGCCACGUGAGUGAUGAAGUUCUUCGGAUUGUAAAGCUCUGUCUUUAGGUACGAUAAUGACGGUACCUAGGGAGGAAGCCACGGCUAGCUACGUGCCAGCCGCCGCCGUAACAC
rnacentral:rRNA from 1 species